ACGUACACUCCUGCGGGAGGCAGCAGUGGGGAAUAUUGCACAAUGGGCGGAAGCCUGAUGCAGCAACGCCGCGUGCGGGAUGACGGCCUUCGGGUUGUAAACCGCUUUCGCCUGUGACGAAGCGUGAGUGACGGUAAUGGGUAAAGAAGCACCGGCUAACUACGUGCCAGCAGCCGCGGUGAUACGUAGGGUGCGAGCGUUGUCCGGAUUUAUUGGGCGUAAAGGGCUCGUAGGUGGUUGAUCGCGUCGGAAGUGUAAUCUUGGGGCUUAACCCUGAGCGUGCUUUCGAUACGGGUUGACUUGAGGAAGGUAGGGGAGAAUGGAACUCCUGGUGGAGCGGUGGAAUGCGCAGAUAUCAGGAGGAACACCAGUGGCGAAGGCGGUUCUCUGGGCCUUUCCUGACGCUGAGGAGCGAAAGCGUGGGGAGCGAACAGGCUUAGAUACCCUAGUAGUCCCAUGA
rnacentral:rRNA from 1 species